rnacentral:rRNA from 1 species
GAUGAACGCUGGCGGCGUGCCUAAUACAUGCAAGUCGAACGCUGAAGGAGGAGCUUGCUCUUCUGGAUGAGUUGCGAACGGGUGAGUAACGCGUAGGUAACCUGCCUGGUAGCGGGGGAUAACUAUUGGAAACGAUAGCUAAUACCGCAUGACAACAGUUAUUGCAUGAUAACUGUUUAAAAGGGGCAACUGCUCCACUACCAGAUGGCCCUGCGUUGUAUUAGCUAGUUGGUGAGGUAACGGCUCACCAAGGCGACGAUACAUAGCCGACCUGAGAGGGUGACCGGCCACACUGGGACUGAGACACGGCCCAGACUCCUACGGGAGGCAGCAGUAGGGAAUCUUCGGCAAUGGACGGAAGUCUGACCGAGCAACGCCGCGUGAGUGAAGAAGGUUGUCGGAUCGUAAAGCUCUGUUGUAAGAGAAGAACGAGUGUGAGGGUGGAAAGUUCACACUGUGACGGUAGCUUACCAGAAAGGGACGGCUAACUACGUG